ACACACACAUUCAGGGGGAAGCAACUGAAAGGUGCCUGUGCUUGUUCCUACAGGAAUCCACACGAACAUGGCCUCACAUCAUAUGUCACGGAAACUCAUAUUCAGGCUUAGAUGCACUCACACACACGCACAGGGACAUGCACAUUUACAUACACACCUAGACAGUUGAGUUAAUGAUGGGUAGAGGAAGCGAGAUUUGUUAGAACCUCAAGCCUCUGUCUUUAUACCUUAAUGAUGGUUAUUAUUCUGUCAUACUGUGACUCUCACUAUGCAGAAACGUUACUGACUGCAAUAUAUUUUCCUCUAUACACCAUAAUUACACAUGAUUGAUUAUGCAUGUGUGUGUCAUGAUGUGUGUAGGCAGUUCCCUAUUGCUGCUGAUAAUUACAGUGAUGACUGACAGCUGUAAUAAACAGAAUCACUGCUACACCUAGCGUUUUGCCCUAGGCUACCAGAAAUCAAGAAAAAAAAAAUGCAAAAAUAGACAGAGCUCUGAAGUUCAUUGUCAGUUGACAGUGCCCUAUGCUCACUGUGCUGUGCUUAAUUAAUUGUGAUGAAAGCAAAACAAAGGUAUGCAUUUUAAAUUAAAGAAUAUUUAAUUAGA